UAUAAGUGAUGGCGACCGGCGCACGGGUGAGUAACACGUAUCCAACCUGCCGAUAACUCGGGGAUAGCCUUUCGAAAGAAAGAUUAAUACCCGAUGGUAUAAUAAGACCGCAUGGUUUAAUUAUUAAAGAAUUUCGGUUAUCGAUGGGGAUGCGUUCCAUUAAGCAGUUGGUGAGGUAACGGCUCACCAAACCUUCGAUGGAUAGGGGUUCUGAGAGGAAGGUCCCCCACAUUGGAACUGAGACACGGUCCAA
rnacentral:rRNA from 1 species